rnacentral:rRNA from 1 species
AUUGAACGCUGGCGGCAUGCCUUACACAUGCAAGUCGAACGGUAACGGGUCCUUCGGGAUGCCGACGAGUGGCGAACGGGUGAGUAAUAUAUCGGAACGUGCCCAGUAGUGGGGGAUAACUGCUCGAAAGAGCAGCUAAUACCGCAUACGACCUGAGGGUGAAAGGGGGGGAUCGCAAGACCUCUCGCUAUUGGAGCGGCCGAUAUCAGAUUAGCUAGUUGGUGGGGUAAAGGCCUACCAAGGCAACGAUCUGUAGUUGGUCUGAGAGGACGACCAGCCACACUGGGACUGAGACACGGCCCAGACUGCUACGGGAGGCAGCAGUGGGGAAUUUUGGACAAGGGGCGCAAGCCUGAUCCAGCAAUGCCGCGUGCAGGAAGAAGGCCUUCGGGUUGUAAACUGCUUUUGUCAGGGAAGAAAUCUUCUGGGCUAAUACCCCGGGAGGAUGACGGUACCUGAAGAAUAAGCACCGGCUAACUACGUGCCAGCCGCCGCGGUAA